GAAGAAUACACAGGACCUUCAGCAACGCAUACACAUUAGGAAAAAACUUCAUGUCAGGAAGGUGGAGGGCUUCAUGGAUGGUGGAUGGAAGCUCUGUAUCUUUCCCCCUGUGUUUCCAUUUGAUUCUCCAACAAUGAAGCUCAGCUGACAGUGUGUCGGAAUUGGCUUUCUCAGAACCUCUUCACCAGAAUUUAUUCGGCACUCCAGCAAUGCCUGAAAGUUAUUUGGAGUAAAGAGACCUUCUGGGAUUAUGUCAGCCUCAUGUCCAUCCAGAGGUAUGUUUUGCUUUCCCAUCAGAAUCAAUAUUUCAAAUAGAGAUUUUAGGUAUUCUUUGUUUUCUUUCUCUUCAAGGGUUAGAGGUAAAAUGUCCUCAUUCUUGCCCUUCACCCUCUUCUUCACUGGGGUUCUGAGCAUUGCUAUUGUUGGUUUCUUUAUGUUUUUGUUCCUGCUCAGAAGUUUCAUCAACAGUUCUUUUAUUCGUUUUCUGUGUCUACUAUGUGGGUUGUUCAAAUGACUGGUAAGGUCAAAUAUUGUUAGUAUUGCAUUAUCUCGAAGAAGUGUCCUAUAAGGACUAGUUCGGCAGAUCAUGGAGGUCUCAAAAUCUUUGGCACGUAAUCGAUAAUGUUUAUUUAGCUGAUCAGGUGUUUUAUCUUAUAAGUCUGCUCUCCUACAAUUCUCCACCCACUUCUGGCAUCUGGCCGGGGCCCACGGGAACCUGAAGAAGGCCAGGUUGUACUGCGUGCUCUUCCGCGUGCACUUGUGGGCAGCGCAGAAGUUUGCCUCAGGGCAGUCCGCCUGCCCAUCGGGGCUGUGGAGGGGACUGAAUCAAUAAUUAAUAACCUUCCCAAACAGAUGGCACUAGGGGUCACUGGUGAAUUAUACCAAACAUUUAAGGAAUAAAUUAUAUAAACUCUCUACAGUCUCUUCCAGGAGGUAGAAGCAGAGGGAACACUUCCUAAUUUAUUCUAUGAGACCACCAUUACCGAAGAACCAAAACCAUAUGAAGAUAUUACAAGAAAAGAAAACCGGCUGGGUGCGGUGGCUCAAGCCUGUAAUCCCAGCACUUUGGGAGGCCUAGGCGGGUGGAUCACCUGGAGGUCAGGAGUUCGAGACCAGCCUGGCCAACAUGGCAAAACCCCAUUACUAAAAAAAUACAAAAAACUAGCCGGGCGAGGUGGCGGGCGCCUGUAGUCCCAGCUGCUCGGGAGGCUGAGGCAGGAGAAUGGCGUGAACCUGGAAGGCGGAGCUUGCAGUGAGCCGAGAUCCGGCCACUGCACUCCAGCCUGGGCAACACAGAGAGACUCUGUCUCAAAAAAAAAAAAAAUACAAGAUUUAGCCAGGCGUGGUGGCAGGCGCCUGUAAUCCCAGCUACUCAGGAGGCUGAGGUAGCAGAAUCGCUUGAACCUGGGAGGCAGAGGUUGCAGUGAGCCGAGAUCGUGCCAUUGCACUCUAGCCUGGGGGACAAGAGCUAGACUUUCUCUCAAAAAAAAAAAAAAAAGAAAAAGAAAAAAGAAAGAAAAGAAAACUACAGGCCAACAUCUCAUGAAUGUAGAUGCAAAAAAUCCCCAUCAAAAUAUUAGUAAAUAUCCAUAAUGAAUAAAAAUUAUGCACCUUG
ensembl:lncRNA